ensembl:lncRNA
UUUUACUUCUUACGUACUAUGGAAGAGGCAGAGGAGUCCUCUGGGACUGAGCACACCUUUUCUACCUGCACUCUGGCAGACAACUCCAGCCCCAGGGAGCCCAGGAGGUCCCUCACUGCGGUAACUCUACAAGUUGUUUGGAGAUCAGCAACCUAGGGGAUAGUUGCAGCCUCUGGCAUGCCUUCUCCCUAUUAACCUGCAUAAAUCAGGAAAAAAUAGUGAUAAGAGGAACCAAAGGGAAUGAAUCUUUGAUGAUGUCCUUGUCACUUGAAACCAUUCACUGGAACAAGGAGAAGUCACCUGUACACCCUUGUUUUUUUCAUAGGAGACAUCUGUAACAAAGAUGCAAACUGGUUUAUUCACAUCCUGGAAGUCAGCAUUGACCAGCUGGUUACUGAGCCACUGUUUCUACACAGACAGAGCCACAUGCCCUCCAAGAGUGAAGGGGACUCUCAGGACUUCACACAGCAUGGCAGCAACAUGGGGGAAAAGGGCUACAGUGCAGAAUGCCCUAGAAAACCAAGAAAAUGCUCUGAAACAGCACUUAAGGGAAACAGAGCUCCUAAAGGAGGAUGUAGAAAGAACAGACAGGAAAUGUGAUCCCUCCAGCAGCCUGGGUGGAUGGAAAUCCUUGGGUCUCUCACCACAGAGCAUCCUCUCUGGGUCUUAUUCACUCUCAGUGCUUUUCCUUGUUCCAUCUUCACUGCCCCAGCAUCACACUGAGAGCAGUACGGCUACUCAGAGCAGCAGCCACUCCAAGAAGAGCCUCAUUAGUAUCAAACACAGUGCCAGAAUGCGCCUUGUCAUUGCAGGUGACUUUUUGGCACCACCCCCCGUGGCUUUCUGCUCAGAUGUGACCAUGGAUAGGAUCUUCACCUCCACACAGCUGAGGGUCCUGUGGCAUUCCUGGUGUGUGGAAGAGGACAGGAAGGCCCCAUCUGCAGGGAUGUUUUCAAUUCUCCCUGACUUUGGUCAAGACUGCAGAAUUCAUAGAUCCUCUUGCUCUAAUCAGAGAGGCCUUGUGGAGCUGUUUAUCUACCAAAUUUCCCAGCACCUCUUUCCACUGGUUACUUUCUUGUCUGGUAUGCCUGGUUUAUAUUUGCACCCAGGUACAUCAUCUUAUAGUUGGCUUUUCUGAGUUGCACAGUGCUUUUCCACGGAGCCACCCAGAGCAAUCUGUAUCACCAUCUGCCUCUCUUCCAAUUCUUCCUCUUUAUCUCAAUUGGAAGUUCUUUUUGCAAUGUUGUUUUAUCAGUUUUGUUUUAUCAGGCCAUUGAUCAAAUUAUAAAAUGUCAGAAAGCUCUGUAGAAGUACACUUAACUGGUAAGUGCUCAUAUGCAAUUUCAUUUGUGACACACUAGAGUACUUAAUCUAUUUAAUGUUUUGAUGGGCUAUUGACACUUAAAUACAAAUAUCAUACGAAUCCAAAUACAAUAUCUCUUUAUAUCAGCACCUACGCUGCAAACACUCAACAAGCAAUCUCAAAAAACAAAACUAAAUGAAAAAACAGCCUACUUUGGAAAGACGUAUGUACAGCAGUUCUUCGCAUCUUGGCUUACAUUAUAUUACCAUCUCUCAGUUUUUGAUUCACUGAAAUCUGCAUUAAUGUUACUUUUCCUAAGAUGAAGAUCAGAAUGCGUCCUAGACUUACUUGUCUGCUUUACACUUUUAAUUAUUAGCUCAGCUAUGGCACUAUCCCUCUUCUUUGGAAUUUUUCCAGUGCCCCAGAAGGUAUUCAGAGUCAGUUUUGUUUAUUUACAAGUUUUUAUGGGUUUUUUGUUUUAAGUGUUCAGAUUUAAAUUGUCUUGAUUUACUCAUUUCCCAAAGGCUUCUUAAUAGCUUCACUUUUCUAUUAUCUUCUAAGAUCUUUCAAGAAAGAGUGUUUCACUGCCAUUAUCAAGCAUGAUUUGUUAUAAAAAACAUGUACCUGUCAUUUGUGAUAGUCCAUAAUAAUUAUUGACAGUUUCUCUAUUUCAAAACAGUUUUAUCAAUUACUUCUGUUCCUGCAUAUCUGCUGUUACUCACAUUAGGUUCUUUCUUGUGCUCUUUUCCUUUCCCUGAUAGUAUUUUACAGUAUAUUGGCCUCCUAGUUACAUAUGCAUUGUGAUCAUUUUUCUCCUUCUCUUUGAAUUUUGUCACAUUUCAUUUUCCUUCAUAAAUUUGUUUUAAAAUCAAUGUAAAUUUCUGUUUUGAACAUAGAUUGCUGUUUUUAAGCUACAGAUGUUUGUUAGUAAGUCUCAAUUGUUUAAUGGUUUUCUAUCAAUAAUUGCUCAAUGAUUUGCCUUACAAUUAUUUUCAAGAUCGAAAAACAGUCCUCUGCAAAGUUCAUACAGAAGUAUGUAUUUGUUUUUUUAUAUUUUUAUAACGCAUAUUUUUAUAUGCAUAAUGCAUGUAAUGCAUUAUGCAUGUAAUGCAUAAUGCACAUUUUUAUAUGCAUAAUGUAACACAUACAUGGAUUUGCUUAUAUACAGAGUGACAAAACCGUGUAUCCUGAUCACACAAGAAUAAAUAAUCACUAACUCACAACUUCUUUUGUCAUUUUUCCUUACCUGAUAACAUGAGAGGUCUAAUACAGAAUUUUCUGUCCUGGAUGUAAACUUUUCUGAGGCAUCCUUAAAAUUCUGGGGUCUCAGAAACAUUAUCAGCAUGAGACCACCAAAAAGAGACAAAGAGUUCAUUGAUCACAGGACAAAUGAAAAAAUUAUGACUGUCUUUUUUCUUUCUUUAGUGGAAUUUGAUCAGUUCUGGAAAUGGUCCUGGUUGGCAAAGUCAGUAGGCAUGUAUUUAAUGUUCGGCAUACAGUGAAGCACUUCACAGAGUAAGCCUGAAUUGAAGCACAUCUUCAAAAGAUUUCCUGGUACCUCUAGCAUCCAUCUGAAAAAAAAAA